rnacentral:rRNA from 14 species
AGUAGCGGCGAGCGAACGGGGACCAGCCGAGCCUUGAGCGUGACUAGAAUGUGCUGGAAAGCACAGCCAUAGCGGGUGACAGCCCCGUAUAGGAAGCGUGAUGGGACGUAUUAAGUAGGGCGGGACACGUGAAAUCCUGUCUGAACAUCGGAGGACCACCUUCGAAGGCUAAGUACUCCUUACUGACCGAUAGCGAACCAGUACCGUGAGGGAAAGGUGAAAA